AGGCCAUUGCUAUCAGGGUUUGACUAAGCCAUGCGAGUCGAGAGGUGUAAGACCUCGGCAUACUGCUCAGUAACACGUGGUUAACCUGCCCUAAGGUGGAGAAUACUCCCGGGAAACUGGGGCUAAUGCUCCAUAGUGGAUAUGUCCUGGAAUGGUAUAUCCUCGAAAGAUCCGUCGCCUUAGGAUGGGACUGCGUCCGAUUAGGUUGUUGGCGGGGUAACGGCCCACCAAGCCUUUUAUCGGUACGGGUUGUGGGAGCAAGAUCCCGGAGAUGGAUUCUGAGACAUGAAUCCAGGCCCUACGGGGCGCAGCAGGCGCGCAAACUUUACAAUGCGAGCAAUCGUGAUAAGGAAACCCUGAGUGCCUGUCGAUGCAGGCUGUUCAUAUAUCUAAAUCAUAUGUGAAGAAAGGGCAGGGCAAGACCGGUGCCAGCCGCCGCGGUAAUACCGGCUGCUCGAGUGAUGGCCACUAUUACUGGGUUUAAAGCGUCCGUAGCUUGACUGUUAGGUCUCUUGGGAAAUCUUCGCGCUCAACGUGAAGGCGUCUAAGAGAUACCGGCAGUCUUGGAACUGGGAGAGGUA
rnacentral:rRNA from 1 species